rnacentral:rRNA from 1 species
GAUGAACGCUGGCGGCGUGCUUAACACAUGCAAGUCGAACGGAAAGGCCGAAGCUUGCUUCGGUACUCGAGUGGCGAACGGGUGAGUAACACGUGGGUGAUCUGCCCUGUACUUCGGGAUAGGCUUGGGAAACUGGGUCUAAUACCGGAUAUGACGAUCUCUUGGAUGGGGUUGUGGAAAGCUUUUGCGGUAUGGGAUGAGCUCGCGGCCUAUCAGCUUGUUGGUGGGGUAAUGGCCUACCAAGGCGUCGACGGGUAGCCGGCCUGAGAGGGUGUACGGCCACAUUGGGACUGAGAUACGGCGCAGACUCCUACGGGAGGCAGCAGUGGGGAAUAUUGCACAAUGUGCGCAAGCCUGAUGCAGCGACGCCGCGUGGGGGAUGACGGCCUUCGGGUUGUAAACUCCUUUCGCAAUCGACGAAGCCUUUUGGUGACGGUAGGUUGAGAAGAAGCACCGGCUAACUACGUG